GGCAGCUGGUUUGGACUUUGGAGAUAGCUCACAGCCUCAGACCAGCGCGUCGUAAAGCGAUGUCCAUGGCGAUGCAGACUGCUGAGCCCCUGAACGGUUCAUCUGCCUGCUCCCUAAGCCGAGGCAGCCAGAGCAGUUGGUCGACGCUGGAGCAGCACAGCAGGAAAACUUAGGUGAUACAUGGCGCAGACCAGGUUAAUCCGGGGCAGCGUGCGCCGCUCCUGUGGAAGCGGAACCCGCGGCCAGCGCUACCGGAGCCGCCGAGCUUGUGUUCUCCUGGGCCGCCGCCGGCAUGCCGUGCGAGAGGAGAGCUUCACAGGACCAGGGACCUUCUUAGCAUUUGGAGCUGCAGAUGCCUCUUCUGUACCCGACUUCUGUAUGCCAAUGAUGUCUGGAUCAGCAGGAAUUGAAGAAAGCUUCACAGGGUGGCCUUGUUGACUUGGAAACAUCUUUGCUGGAACUUGAAAACUACUGGGAACACUUGAUGAAGUUGGCACAUACUGUUCCUUUAAGUUGUAUGCAAAGUAAUUUUUUCGACAGCUCAAACAGCACAUCACAGUGUUUAGGACAUAGAUGGGGUACUGAUAUUGUGUCUCACAGUGGGGGCAUAUAGUCCAAAAAGAUGCUACAUAUCCAGGCACAUCAGAUUUACUUGUGUCACUCUUCUUUUGUUGCUGUGUAGCUUGUUUUCGUACUUUUCUCAAAGCAUUAAGCCUUCUGAUGUCAUAAUGAGAUCGCUUUGUUUGAUCAAA